rnacentral:tRNA from 1 species
UCUAACGUGGCAGAUAAGUGCAUUGGAUUUAAGCUCCAUAAAUAAAGUUUUUAAACUUUCAUUAGAA